AUCCAGUUGAGCUAGAGGGAGGAGGUAGUUAUCAAAGUGGUUCCUUGUUGCUGAAAAAUUUUGGGCCCCUUUACAUUUUUAUUCCUGGAGGAGAAAACAUCAGUUGCCUCACUCUAGUUAAAGCUGUUCCUUGGGUCUUGCUUGACUCCCAUCCUCACAUUAUUGUUCUAUUGCAAAGUCUUUAAAAUGUGUCUUUCUCCUUAUUCUGUUUUAGGGUUCCACAGUGAGAAUAAUUGGAGUCACCAAAACAUGGGGGUUAUGGACUUCAUUGUCCCAGAUGAAAUGAAGCUAUCUCCUACUGAAUCCUCUUUGGAGACAGACUCAUCCCUGAAAGCGGUGAGCCACCCAGAGGCAGGAAAUAGGGUGUCUCCUGGUGGUUCUGACUCUGCCUACAGUGGCUUUCCUGGGGCGAAAAAGGUGGCAAAAAAUAUUUGGCCCACUUGGAUUACCUCAGAAUCUUCUCCUGAAGCUGCCCCGCUGCCAGAUUUAGUCUCCCCCUCUAAAGAAGUCCCUCAGGAGUCCAUGAAGAAUACAUCAAUUAGCUUAAAUAACACAGAAACAACUCAGCUUCUGAAUGAACCAGUAUCAGGCACUUCUGUCCAUCUCCUCAAAAUUCUUCCCAGAGGGACAAUGGCCAGUUUUCCAGAAUCCAAGCAUCUGCCUGAGAUACAUAACAGUAUCCUAGAGGAAAUGGGAGAGGCUGGUGGGCUGUCAAGCACCCCGGUACCUGGCAGGGGGGCCUGGCCUGAAGGCACAGUUCUCUUGCCUUCUGGGAAUGCCUCCUUCUCCCUGGAAUUCCAGAGCCCCAGCCCAGAUUGGAAAGCUAGACUCAGGAACAUUGUAGCAGACAUUCACGCCUCUCACCCCAGGUUUGGCAGCAUCCCGGGGCAACCUCAUGGAUGCCAACUGUGUGGCCAGAAGGAAAUAGACUGGGCUUCUACUGCUGUAGAUGUAGCCCUGCCAAGUGGAGAGGAAGGGUUGCUUUGGCGCCUGCUGAAGGCCUUAACCAUGGUAUCAGCCUCUAGGAAUUUGCCAACCAUCAGAGCACGGGGUCCAGGGACUAGGAAUCAAGUCUUUGCUGCAGAACUGAAUGGAAAUAAUGCUCCAUCUAAGACUAUGGGCACGGUAUUCCCUGCCCGUGGGACACACAACCAAGAGGCCCCUGAAGAGCUAGCCCAGACCCUGGGAGGAAGGAAGGAGGAAGGAAGAACAGAAGCAGAUUCCAAAAAGAGAGAAAAACUUCUAAAACUGUUAGCCUUUGGAGAUGCAACCAGUGUUCCAUAUGUACCAGCCAGGCAUAAACCCUCCCCAAGCAUUGGCCAGAGUAGUACCUGGCCCAGAUGGAGAUCUAGACCUAGAAACCAGCUGAGCCAAGAGAAAGCUAUUCUACAACAGCCCAGGAGGGACAACUCCUCCGGGGGUCAUGUGGCAACAGAUCUCUCUGGGGUGUUCUCUCCAUUCAGCAGGUCCAACCUAGGUUGGGCAUUAAGCAGGUCUCUGUCUCCGAGAGGAGGAAUUCCUGCUCUGAGGAGGGUCCCUUGGGCAGGAUCAGGAAACCCAGUAACUGGAAACUUGGGAGUAGCCGGUAACUUUAGAGAGGAAUUUGGAAGUGCCCCUUACGCUCUCCCAGUGGAAAAGGCUCCAUUUAUUUCUCCAGAAAAGAAGCUUCCUUCUCUAGAGAAUCAGGCCACCGAAGGUGAAUGGGGGCUUCUAUCCACCCUGCCAAGGACCAUCAGUCAGACUCCUUCUAGCCCCAUGGCUCCUUCCCUGUUAUUAAAGCCUCAGACUAAUAAGAUUCUAGCUCAGAUAAAGUCAUCUCUGCUGGCUGCCAGCACCCAGACCUCUUACCUGACCCAUCCGAUGGAAGAUAUGACAAGUAACCAUUUUAUUUUUCCUGUUCCUUCAAGAAAAAAACAAUACCUGGGAACAGAGACUCCAGAUGAGACUUUUCAGAGGUCUGUAGGAGCUCACUCUGAGGUCAAGACCACCACAGUGGAUGGAAAGGAAGUGAGACAAGCUGCUUCUCCUUCCACUGUGGGGUCAGCAUUUCCUGAAAGGGAAGUGGCCAGCCCUGCUGUCUCUAUAAAUUCAAUCUGGUCCCUGGAGGAUUCUGGGAACCAAAAGCCACAUCCUCCUGGAAGAAUCAAACAGGGGGGCCUGAGAGUAGCUGGAAAGAAAUGGAUUUCUUCCUUUGCCCCUCUCAGGAGAUGUCCCUCUGGAGGGAUCCAGCUUUUCCUAGGGGGAUUGAUGAUUCCCCUGCUUCCUGUGGAACCUGAGAGAAUCCCAAGGGAAUAUAAAUCUAAGGGAACUUUGACUCUCCUGGCUCUAGGGGUGGAGAGAAAGGUACCAUCCUUUCUUUCCUGGAUCUCCAACUCCAGCAAUGUCACACUGGGGCAUCUCAUGUCUCCUCCCCAAUUUCUAGAGGAUCCUCAGAGCCAAACUUUUUUCCUUGCUGAGGCCAAAUCAGAAAUCCCCAGGCACCAGAGGGUUCUUGAUCCCAAGUUUGCUGAGGCAGGAAUUGUGCUUUUAAAAAGCCCAUCUGGCCUCUUGAGUCUGGUGCCCCUUUGGGAGUGCUGGAGCCUCAGCAAAGUCAGAGAAUCAGCCUAUUUUCCAGAACCAGAAGCCCUGGAAAGGAAAUAUCGCUCUGCCUUAGUUGAGAAUCCCUCCUCAGCUAUGGAAGCCAUGGACCUGCCCUCACAGGCCCUUAAGACUCAAACCCCUUUCCUGGACCUAUUACAUGAAGACAAAGGGAAGGGCCAAUUUGGAAUUAGGUCUGUUCCUUUGAUUCAGACAAAGGCAGGAAUGGCCCAUUCAGUGAAGGAUGAAGUAACACAGAUCCUGGAGGAGGAAAAUAGAACCUCAAAGGGCCUGGGAGGCAGAGACCCUAAACUCUCUCCCUUGAGGCUGGGCUUUCAUGGUGAUAUUCUGCCCUCGAGUAAGCCUUCCUGGAGGCCUAAUACCUUCCAGGGGAUAUCUGAUGUCAAGAGUCUGCUAGGUCUGGAGACUCAAACCAGUAAAUGGGCCAGAGGGACACUUUCUCUCUUGGCUACCUCAAGAAGGGGGACAGAGUCAGUGAGAGGUACUUGGACAACAACCCUCCAUGGUGAGCCCAAGUUGAAUGAAGAGCUCCCACAGGGCAGAUUCAAAAUUCAAGCUGGCCCCAGAUUGCCCUCGCUUUCCCUGCCUGAGCCUGUGAUGGAGCCCCAGGUUACUGACAUCCCUUUUCUGUGGGAACCUCACACCAAGAAGGGCAGAGGAGAGAGAAAGCCACAUUCCCUAAGCCCUUCGAAGGCUGGACAUGGCAACAUGCCUUUGACAGACUACAACUCUGGGGAGCCAUUUAGUGAGAACAUACUCCACCACCAUAUGGCUUGGGUGGGGAGGCAGGGGGUCCAAGGUAGGUCUUCUGCUGCUGAAGAACAUAGCAGCCAGUUCCUCUCACAUGGAAGUCUCCCAACUGUAGGGAGGGAAGCUGUGUCCAAGUCCCUCACCACUCUUCGAGGGGAGAGAGAGGCUGAGGAAGUCACAAAUAGGGUAGGGAAAAGUAGGAACCUGGCUGUGUCCUCUGCUGUCAAUUCUGAAAAAACCAAGUCUGCCUUAAGCUGGUUUCAUUUUGUCAACCUAUCCUUUCCUCUGGAAAGGCUGGAUCAGAGUCUAACGUCUAGAAAGACUUGGUCAAGAGUCCCUGGUUCCCAAGGAGAGAAAGGGGAACUGGCUUCUUUUCCCUCAGUGGGUAUCACUUCAUCUUUAGGCAUAACUUCCAAAUUUAACACAAAGUCUUUUCCCCCUUCUUCUCCCCCUUUCUUCUCCUUUCUCCCUCUUUCCCAGCACCUGGCCUUCACUAAGAUUGCUAAAUUGUCCACAGCUGCUUCAGUAGGAAGACAAGCAACCACCCAAGGGAGCAAACAGGACUUUCCCUUCCAGAAAAGUGACUUGGUUCAGGGUCUAGGAAAAGCUAACAUUGAUAAACCUCAGACCCCUCAGCAGCUCUGGUCCUGUGACCAGGCAGAGCAGGGAAGGGGCUGUGCCCAGAAACAAGGAGGCCCUGAUUCUGGGGAGCCAUCGGGGAACUUCAGCCCUCAGGGUCCAGUACUGGGCUCCUUACCCCUUGCAGGCUGGUCAGAGCCUGGUUCUUUGGUGAAACUUAGAGCCCAAAGGCAAAACUAUGAGCUGCAGGUUCCAGCUGGGCAUUCUUGGCUCUGUCUUGAUGGAGACUGCUUGAAGGUCAUUUUGCAAGACUUAGUGUCUUCCCAAGACCUUGGGACCACUAGUGUGGAAAGCCUACUGGCUAGAGUCCUUUCCUUUAGGCUAAAGCCUCUCCAGAUGGGAGUGGCAGGCACUGUCCCCACCAAAGAGGAACAGAUGGGACUUGGGUCUCUGCAGCUGCCACCCCAUGCAGAAUCCUUUCAUCCAGAUGGGUCCACACAGUCCCCAAUCAUGGGGCCUCAUGCUAUGGAUAAACUGUCCUGGACACCCGCCCCUCCCCAGAACAGGAUAGACUCUUGGCUCUCUGACUGGUUCUGUGACUUUGAGACAGACUUGUGUGGGUGGCAGCAGAAUGGGACUGGGGCUGACUGGGUGCUUGCUCAAGACCAGAACAGUUACUCCUGGAGUGGCAGCCUCCCUUUGGACAGUCCUUGUCAUUUUCCUGGAGGAAACCAUCUGUCUCUGCAGAACCAAGCUUCUUCACAAAUAAUCCCCAAAGCGGUUCUGAUUAGCCCAGUGUUGUAUGGAGCCAGAUGGAUUCGGUUUUGGUACAGUCCCCUGCAGCCUGGCAUGGGUAGGUGUCACAUGUAGCCAAUGGGCUUUGGUUGCAAGGUUCUGAGGGCCCACAUGGCUGGGCCCUUCAAGGGGUAUGUUUGGGUUGAGUUCUUCCAUCUUUCUGGAUUGGGGUGCACUUAGUGGAGAUCCAGUCGAUUAGCUGGCUGCUACCUGGGCCUUUGUGAAGAUUACCAUCUUGCCAGUGCUCUGAGAUGGAUUCACUAAUGUCUGGAUUCUGUCUGGAAUGUAGCAACCAUUUGAAAGCUGAGACUCUUCCCACCCUUCUCCUCGGGAAGGGAGUAUCUAUUUCAUCUGACUCUACUCGUUUUCAGAGGGACCCCAGAUGUUGGACAGCUCCAAUCACUGUGUGCCACUCAGGACAUCCUUCUAGGGAUAAUGUCUAGAAAGGAGAUAACAUAUAGAAAAUACAUAUGUGCACUCUUAAAGUGCUACAUAAUGAUUAUUAGGAGUAAAAGAUUUCAUGCAUAUGAAAGUAUGAUAUAAAUGCCAGAGUAAUAGACAGAUGUAUAUACACAGAAUCUAUUUCAUAUAUCAAUAUCAGUCAGAGAUUAUAUAUUUUUAUACAUGUGUCACAUGCACUUAUACAUCCAACAUACAUGUAUAUUGUGUACAUGUGUCUUGGUCUAUUCUACUUCAUGGAAUAAGGAGGAAGAAACAAUUGGCAUAUAUAGUAUAUAUGAUAGCAAGAGGUAUAGAGUAUACAUACAUAUAUGCAUAUUUUAUAUAUGCACGCAAUAUACAGGGCAAUAUAAUGUGCAUAUAUUUUAUAGACACAUAAAUAUAUGUAUGUGUUAUAUUUUAUACACACAUAAAAUAUAAAGGAUGCCUACAAACAUGUAUUUGUACUCUAGAUUUGUUGAUGUUUUAUGUAUGUAAGCACGCACACUCUCUCCUUUUCUCUUAUUCUAUGAAAUAGAAUGGGCAACUAGGUGGCUGAGUAGAUGGAGAACAGGGAGGUCCUAGGUUCAAAUUUGACCUCAGAUACUUCCUAGCUAUGUGACCCUAUGCAAGUCACUCAAGCCCAAUUGUCUAGCUCUUACUUAGUAUCAAUUCUAAGACAGAAGGUAAGGGUUUAAAAAAAAAAGAAAUAGAAUGGCCAAAAAUUGACCCAGAAACAUUUAGAAUCUAAGAUUAUAGAAUGAACGGAACCAUUCCAAACUUGGAUUCCUCUAAAGCGUAUAAUCGCUAAGAGUUCAUAAUUCUGAUCUCCUUCCAAGGGGGUGGGUUUCUUUGACAGGAACCAUUAGUGUCUAUGUCUACUCUCGGGCUCAAUUUGGGUGGCAUCUACUCUGGUCCAGUGUGGGGCAUAGAAACGCAUCCUGGAGCUGGGUGGAACUGAAGCUUUGGCCAUCACGGAAGAUACAGGUCAGUAUUUCACUCUCUAUUGGUGGGAAUCUAUGGACAUAGACUCUGGAACUUCAGUCUCCAAAGUACUGGGACCUUUGGGAUACUAAAAAAUGGUCCACCAUUUUGUUGGAGGUGGUGUAUUGGGCCAUUUAGGAAUAAAUGAUUCAAAAAGAAGAGGAUAAUUAAGCA
ensembl:lncRNA